UACGUAGGUGGCAAGCGUUGUCCGGAUUUACUGGGCGUAAAGAGCGCGCAGGCGGUCGUUCAAGUCGCGUGUGAAAGCCCCCGGCUCAACUGGGGAGGGUCACGCGAUACUGAUCGACUCGAAGGCAGGAGAGGGUAGUGGAAUUCCCGGUGUAGUGGUGAAAUGCGUAGAUAUCAGGAGGAACGCCGGAGGCGAAAGCGAGUGACUGGCGCGUUCCUGACGCUGAGGUGCGAAAGCUAGGGGAGCAAACAGG
rnacentral:rRNA from 1 species